UUCCAGUGGAACAACUGGGGACUGCCAAGAAGGGGGUCUGUUUAUAAAAGAGCAUCAACUCGCUUAGGCCAUGACGUUCACCCAUCCCUUCCUCUGGAGCAACCGCUGCCCUGUGAAUAAGAGCCGAUGGAGGAGAUCUCAGCUUCGGUGGUGAUGACAGAACAUGAUUUCGGUUCUGCUCCUAAACCAGGUGCACUGGAUGCUGCUGCUGUAAACAUACAGCAAUUGGAAGAAACAGUCAAGGCGCUGAUGAGAGCUGUCACAGCUGAAAGUGCAUUUUCACAGAUUCUGUGUCUCAGACGCGGACAUCCUUUUUUACACCAGAUUCACGUCAAGAGAUGUUUUUUGUGACUUCUGGGAGGUUAUUCAACCAUCUGCCUCCAUGUUGGUUUAUUGGUCGAAAGCUCAGAAAAGAAACAAACAUUUGAACCCAUUUCUCCCAGUCCAACGUGUAGACUGCAACUGGUUGAGUUUUUUCUCUUCUGCUGCCGGGUUGCUGCAGGCCUGCAAGAGAAGGUGCUGGCUGACAUGUUUCAGAGCUGACUGAACGAAGUGGACUGCUGGAUUUACUGGAGCCAGGAGAUGGCUGCAUGGCAGACAAGGGUUUCACCAUCGAGAAGCCACUAGCUGAUCGUGGGGCAACGCUGAUUAUACCACCCUUCAAGAUGACAGGUAGGCAUGAAAGGAAUGAACAUUUCAAAUUAAAACUUUGACCCAAAUGUGACCAUUAAGAUAUGCAGA